GACGAACGCUGGCGGCGUGCUUAACACAUGCAAGUCGAACGGAAAGGCCCUGCUUUUGUGGGGUGCUCGAGUGGCGAACGGGGGAGUAACACGUGAGUAACCUGCCCUUGACUUUGGGAUAACUUCAGGAAACUGGGGCUAAUACCGGAUAGGAGCUCCUGCUGCAUGGUGGGGGUUGGAAAGUUUCGGCGGUUGGGGAUGGACUCGCGGCUUAUCAGCUUGUUGGUGGGGUAGUGGCUUACCAAGGCUUUGACGGGUAGCCGGCCUGAGAGGGUGACCGGCCACAUUGGGACUGAGAUACGGCCCAGACUCCUACGGGAGGCAGCAGUGGGGAAUAUUGCACAAUGGGCGGAAGCCUGAUGCAGCAACGCCGCGUGCGGGAUGACGGCCUUCUGGUUGUAAACCGCUUUCGCCUGUGACGAAGCGUGAGUGACGGUAAUGGGUAAAGAAGCACCGGCUAACUACGUG
rnacentral:rRNA from 1 species